GAUAGAAAAUUUAAAGGCCGCAGUAUAUUGACCGUGCGAAGGUAGCCUAAUAAUUUGUUCUUUAAUUGAGGACUAGUAUGAAGGGUUGAACAAAAAGCUAACUGUCUCUAAAAUAAAUCUUGAAAUUAACAUUUAAGUGAAAAGGCUUAAAUAUUCUAAGGGGACGAUAAGACCCUAUAAAUCUUUAUAUUUUAGAUUUAUUAGUUUAAAAAUUGGUAUUAAAUUUUGAUUUAAUAAGUUAAAAUAUUUUGUUGGGGAGACGAGUAUAAAAAAUAACUGCUUUAAAAUUUAAGUUAAUAAUAUUUAAUUGAGUGAUCCUUUAAUAUGGAUUUUAGAUUAAGUUACUUUAGGGAUAACAGCGUAAUUGCUUUUGAGAGUUCAUAUCGAAAAAGAAGAUUGUGCCCUCAUGUUGAAUUAAAGAUCCCUUUAUGGUGCAGAAGUAUAA
rnacentral:rRNA from 1 species